GCGUCGUGUUUCCACACAAUUUCUCGUUUUCCCAAUUUCCAUUCGUGUUGAUAUUUAACAAAUAUAAAAUAUUUUCCGUGUUGAUAUACAGUUAUAUCAACACGAGUGGAAAUUGGGAAAACGAGAAAUUGUGUCGAGUGUUGAU
rnacentral:miRNA from 1 species